rnacentral:rRNA from 1 species
AACGCGAAGAACCUUACUUGCUCUUGACAUCCCCUUGAAGCAGUGGUAAUCGGAUGUCUCUUUCGGGACAGGGGAGACAGGUGGUGCAUGGUUGUUGUCAGCUCGUGUCGUGAGAUGUUGGGUUAAGUCCCGCAACGAGCGCAACCCUUAUUUUCAGUAGCCAGCAGGUAGAGGUGGUCACUCUGGAGAGACUGCCGGUGAUAACCCGGAGGAAGGUGGGGAUGACGUCAAAUCAUCAUGCCCUUUAUGAGCAGGGUUACACACGUGCUACAAUGGCGUAAACAAAGAGAAGCGAGAGUGUGAAGCGGACCAACCCUCAAAAAUAACGUUUCAGUUAGGAGAAUAGUUAGCAACUCGACUACAUGAAGGAGGAAUCGCUAGUAAUCGUUAAUCAGAAUGUCGCGGUGAAUACUUCCCGGGUGCCGUACACACCG